rnacentral:rRNA from 1 species
AGGACGAACGCUGGCGGCGUGCUUAACACAUGCAAGUCGAGCGGUGAUCCUCCUUCGGGAGGUGAUCAGCGGCGAACGGGUGAGUAACACGUGGGCAACCUGCCCCUCACACUGGGAUAACCUCGGGAAACCGGGGCUAAUACCGGAUACGACCUCGAGCGGCAUCUCUUGAGGUGGAAAGCUCCGACGGUGAGGGAUGGGCCCGCGGCCUAUCAGCUUGUUGGUGGGGUAAUGGCCUACCAAGGCGACGACGGGUAGCCGGCCUGAGAGGGCGACCGGCCACACUGGGACUGAGACACGGCCCAGACUCCUACGGGAGGCAGCAGUGGGGAAUAUUGCGCAAUGGGCGAAAGCCUGACGCAGCGACGCCGCGUGAGGGAUGAAGGCCUUCGGGUUGUAAACCGUCUUUCUAGCAGGGACGAAGCGAAAGUGACGGUACCUGCAGAAGAAGCACCGGCAACUACGCGCCAGCAGCCGC